rnacentral:lncRNA from 10 species
GUAAAGGCAGCAGCCCGGCCUUGAAGCCGGAUCUCGCGAUGUUUCAGGGCGGCUUUGGUGUCAUCAAAUGUGAGAAGCCCUGGACUUUACACAUCCCGAGCCAGUGUGAUCCAGUAUGAUUGGGAGUCCGAGUGCCAGAUGCCGGUCAGGACCUGUUAUGCUGGGUCUCAGAAUGCGGAAACUCUCCCUGUCCGAGGUGGAACAGUUUGUCCUUGAGUGAGGACUGGAGUCCUGAGUGACUCUUUUGAUUUGAUCCUGUUUCCCUCAAACCUGAGAUGGGAGCCUCACUGUAUUGCCCAGGCUGGUCUUGAACUCCGGAGCUCAAGUGAUCGUCUUGCUUCAGCCUUGCAAAAUGAUGGUGAAGCUGCAUCAUUGUCUGGGGUAAAUACCUGAGGUUCGUUGUCUCACGCCAAGGGAAUCAAGGACGUGGACACACAAGAAGUGAGUUUAAGAGCGGAGGUUUAAUAGGCGAAAGAGAAAAGAGAAUAGCUCUAGCUCCUGCAGAGAGAAAAGGGCUCCCAAGUAGGACUUCCAGUCCGUGGCGA